UGGGGAAUUGUUCGCAAUGGGCGCAAGCCUGACGACGCAACGCCGCGUGGAGGAUGAAGGUCUUCGGAUUGUAAACUCCUGUUGCCCGGGACGAAAUGUUCAGACCUAAUACGUCUGAGUUUGACGGUACCGGGUGAGGAAGCCCCGGCUAACUCUGUGCCAGCAGCCGCGGUAAUACAGAGGGGGCAAGCGUUGUUCGGAAUUACUGGGCGUAAAGGGCGCGUAGGCGGCCCUCUAAGUCGAACGUGAAAUCCCUGGGCUCAACCCAGGAACUGCGUCCGAGACUGGGGGGCUAGAAUCCGGGAGAGGGAUGUGGAAUUCCAGGUGUAGCGGUGAAAUGCGUAGAUAUCUGGAGGAACAUCGGUGGCGAAGGCGGCAUCCUGGACCGGUAUUGACGCUGAGGCGCGAAAGCCAGGGGAGCAAACGGGAUUAGAUACCCCAGUAGUCCCUGAGCGGGCUGGCAAGGCGCAU
rnacentral:rRNA from 1 species